GACGAACGCUGGCGGCGCGCCUAACACAUGCAAGUCGAACGAGAGAUGAGGAGCUUGCUCUUCAAAUCGAGUGGCGAACGGGUGAGUAACGCGUGAGGAACCUGCCUCAAAGAGGGGGACAACAGUUGGAAACGACUGCUAAUACCGCAUAAGCCCACGGCUCGGCAUCGAGCAGAGGGAAAAGGAGCAAUCCGCUUUGAGAUGGCCUCGCGUCCGAUUAGCUAGUUGGUGAGGUAAUGGCCCACCAAGGCGACGAUCGGUAGCCGGACUGAGAGGUUGAACGGCCACAUUGGGACUGAGACACGGCCCAGACUCCUACGGGAGGCAGCAGUGGGGAAUAUUGCACAAUGGGGGAAACCCUGAUGCAGCGACGCCGCGUGGAGGAAGAAGGUCUUCGGAUUGUAAACUCCUGU
rnacentral:rRNA from 1 species